GACUCUCGGCAACGGAUAUCUCGGCUCUCGCAUCGAUGAAGAACGUAGCAAAAUGCGCUACCUUGGCAGAGCAU
rnacentral:rRNA from 1 species